UUGGACAUAAACUUCCAACUUUUAAGAACUUUUUAGCUUUCUUUUCUAUAAUCAUAAAGUACAAAAGUGUGGUGUUAAACAAAGUGCUUUAUUUACUGUGACCGAGGUUCAAGAACAAUGGAAAAAGGCUCAAAUUCCUACUUGUGAGACUUUAAAUGCCAUCAAUAAGUUAUUGAGAAUGUUCAAAAAGUGGUAAAGUUUGCAGCGUAGUUAUAAACGGAGACAAUCAUUCACGCAAAUCAAAAAUGAAACUGUUUUUAAGAAUAAGUUGAAGGAGUUAUUUGAUAUUGCUCACACGAAAGCAGCCAAAACCUUAAGUAAAGAGGGAAAUGAAUUUUUGCUAGCCCAGAGAUCAUCAGGUCGGCGUGGAUUUAUUGAUAAUUUUCCACAAAAACCUCUAACAUAUGAAGAAUUGAUGAAGGUAGAUGAAGAAAAUUCAGAUGAACUGGUUGACAAUAGUACCAUCACUCCAAGCCAAGAUAGUAACACUACUUCAAGCCAAGGUACACUAACAACAUCACAAUCAACGAUAAGUCAUGUUUCAAAUUUCGAAGAUGAAUUAUCUCUGCCAAAAGUGACUUCAAAAAUGUCUAUAAUGACACCUGAACUUGUUGCUGCAUUAGAUCGCGGAAAUGUAAGCAGUAGAAAUACUACUUAUAUCAUAGCUGCAACUUUAAAGAUUGUUGGAUAUGAUCUUAAUGAUGUUAAUUUAAGCUACAGUACUAUUCGACGGCACGUAUAUCUCUAAGAGAAGGUAUAGCUAGAGAAAUAAAGGAACAAUUGAAAUUGGAUGAUAAUUACGUUGUUCAUUGGGACGGGAAACUUUUAAGUGAUAUAGUUGGGUCUGAUACCGUUGAUAGGCUCCCUAUUGUUUUAUCAUCAUCUGGUGAAGAACAAUUAUUAGGAGUUCCAAAAAUAAAUUCUCGGACUGGAAUAGAACAAGCAACAGCUGUACAUUCGAUUCUAGAUCAGUGGGGUGUUAGUCGAUAUGUUAAAGCAGUGUGCUUUGAUACUGCAGUUACUAACACAGGUAUUUAUCACGGCGCAGGUGUUGAAUUAGAGAAAGCUUUAGGUCGGGAACUUAUUUGGUUACCAUGUCGUCACCACAUGUUUGAAAUUAUUUUAAAAAGCGUUUUUGAAGUAUAUUGGCCUAAACAAACGGGCCCGAAUGUGCCAAUCUUCAAUCGAUUCAAAGGUUUUUGGAACAAAAU